rnacentral:rRNA from 1 species
AAAUUGAAGAGUUUGAUCAUGGCUCAGAUUGAACGCUGGCGGCAGGCCUAACACAUGCAAGUCGAGCGGUAGCACAGAGAGCUUGCUCUCGGGUGACGAGCGGCGGACGGGUGAGUAAUGUCUGGGAAACUGCCUGAUGGAGGGGGAUAACUACUGGAAACGGUAGCUAAUACCGCAUAACGUCGCAAGACCAAAGUGGGGGACCUUCGGGCCUCAUGCCAUCAGAUGUGACCAGAUGGGAUUAGCUAGUAGGUGGGGUAACGGCUCACCUAGGCGACGAUCCCUAGCUGGUCUGAGAGGAUGACCAGCCACACUGGAACUGAGACACGGUCCAGACUCCUACGGGAGGCAGCAGUGGGGAAUAUUGCACAAUGGGCGCAAGCCUGAUGCAGCCAUGCCGCGUGUGUGAAGAAGGCCUUCGGGUUGUAAAGCACUUUCAGCGGGGAGGAAGGCGUUAAGGUUAAUAACCUUGGCGAUUGACGUUACCCGCAGAAGAAGCACCGGCUAACUCCGUGCCAGCAGCCGCGGUAAUACGGAGGGUGCAAGCGUUAAUCGGAAUUACUGGGCGUAAAGCGCACGCAGGCGGUCUGUCAAGUCGGAUGUGAAUCCCCGGGCUCAACCUGGGAACUGCAUUCGAAACUGGCAGGCUAGAGUCUUGUAGAGGGGGGUAGAAUUCCAGGUGUAGCGGUGAAAUGCGUAGAGAUCUGGAGGAAUACCGGUGGCGAAGGCGGCCCCCUGGACAAAGACUGACGCUCAGGUGCGAAAGCGUGGGGAGCAAACAGGAUUAGAUACCCUGGUAGUCCACGCCGUAAACGAUGUCGAUUUGGAGGUUGUGCCCUUGAGGCGUGGCUUCCGGAGCUAACGCGUUAAAUCGACCGCCUGGGGAGUACGGCCGCAAGGUUAAAACUCAAAUGAAUUGACGGGGGCCCGCACAAGCGGUGGAGCAUGUGGUUUAAUUCGAUGCAACGCGAAGAACCUUACCUGGUCUUGACAUCCACAGAACUUCCAGAGAUGGAUUGGUGCCUUCGGGAACUGUGAGACAGGUGCUGCAUGGCUGUCGUCAGCUCGUGUUGUGAAAUGUUGGGUUAAGUCCCGCAACGAGCGCAACCCUUAUCCUUUGUUGCCAGCGGUCCGGCCGGGAACUCAAAGGAGACUGCCAGUGAUAAACUGGAGGAAGGUGGGGAUGACGUCAAGUCAUCAUGGCCCUUACGACCAGGGCUACACACGUGCUACAAUGGCAUAUACAAAGAGAAGCGACCUCGCGAGAGCAAGCGGACCUCAUAAAGUAUGUCGUAGUCCGGAUUGGAGUCUGCAACUCGACUCCAUGAAGUCGGAAUCGCUAGUAAUCGUAGAUCAGAAUGCUACGGUGAAUACGUUCCCGGGCCUUGUACACACCGCCCGUCACACCAUGGGAGUGGGUUGCAAAAGAAGUAGGUAGCUUAACCUUCGGGAGGGCGCUUACCACUUUGUGAUUCAUGACUGGGGUGAAGUCGUAACAAGGUAACCGUAGGGGAACCUGCGGUUGGAUCACCUCCUUACCUUAAAGAA